GCUUGUUAGCUUGCUUCCAUGGCCUUAUUAUUCUCUAAGGGAUGGGAAAUGCCAGCCAAUGAGGAGGAAAAGCCCUAAGGGGAGUAGGGUUCAAGUGUGGAAGGAUAGCAACAAGCGUAGGUUCACAGAAUCCAAAGGAACCUCGGCCCGUCAGGAUUCUCUCUCGAUCUAUUACACUGUUGAUACCUCGGGUGUCUCGGUGGCUGGCUCUUUUUUUUUUCCUUCUGUUUUUUGGUUUUUGUUUCUUUUAACUUUUGAAGGGAGAAAGUGAGGGAACACUGAACUAAAUAUGGGUCAUGU
rnacentral:lncRNA from 1 species